rnacentral:rRNA from 1 species
AACGAACGCUGGCGGCAUGCCUAACACAUGCAAGUCGAACGAUGCCUCCGUGCAUAGUGGCGCACGGGUGCGUAACGCGUGGUAAUCUGCCCUUGGGUUCGGAAUAACUCGCUGUAAGGUGAGCUAAGACCGGAUGAUGACGUAAGGCCAAAGAGUUAUCGCUCAAGGAUGGGCGCUGGUAGGAUUAGGUGGUUGGGGGGGUAAACGCCCAUCAAGGCGACGUUCCUUAGCUGGUCUGAUAGGAUGAUCUGCUACACUGGGACUGCGACGCGGCCCAGAGUCCUACGGGAGAGAGCAGUGGGGAAUAUUGGACAAUGGGCGAAAGCCUGAUCCAGCCGUGCCGCGUGAGUGAUGAAGGCCUUAGGGUUGUAAAGCUCUUUUAGCCGGGAUGAUAAUGACAGUAACGGGAAAAUAAGCUCCGGCUAACUACGUG